rnacentral:tRNA from 1 species
CGGGUGUUAUUAGACUGGAACGUACCUACCUUACAAGUGGGCGAUCAGCGGUUUAAUUUCGUUACACCCGA